rnacentral:lncRNA from 12 species
GGGCAUUUUAAGUAAAAAGCACAGGUAUUUGAUGUUUAAAACUAGUUAUGGCAAGUAAAAAAUUAUUUUAAUAAUUUAUCAGACAUUACAGAGCUUUUUUUCCCCAUAACAAAACUGUGGGGAAAAAAACAUGUUAUGUGUCAAAAAAGGGACAGUGACACCAAAGUGUACUGUUUUUGUCAAAAGGGGCAUCUAGCUGUCAUAUCACUUUAUUUAAAAAAAAUAUAUAUAUACAUGUAAACAUUAACAUGUAAAAAUAAACAACUCAUAAGAGAUCCAAACCCUCUCUGUGCGCAAACAGUGACAGACAGUCUCAGAGAGAGAUUUAUGAGAUGAAAAAGGAACAGAACAUACCAUUAAUAUUCUUUUAGUUCAUUCCAUAUUGACACAAAUGACAGUAAGUGUCAGGGAACGGCCGGGGGAAUGUCCAUUUAGAGCUGUCAGUCUUCUGCUCUCAUAAAGAGGCUUUGCUUAUCUCUGACAGUUGGCAAAUACACUCUAGACAAACACUCUCAUUGACACCAGCCUUUAUCUGGGCUCUGUGUACACAUCACAUGCCUGUAAACUUCCCAGAAGGGCUCAAUAAAAAAAUAAAGAAAUCAAACACAUGAAUGUAUUCAUCUCUGAAAACACGGAGUACUUUGCAGUCAUUCAACUGGAAAAUAUUAUUAAAUAUCUGAAAAAGGCAUGUAUGAUCUAUCUAAUCCAUGGUGGAUAAGAUUCCAGAGGUUUUCCACUCACUCUUCCUGACUGGAGGUCAAAUGCAGAUUAUUUUGCAAAGUGUGAUAUUGGCAGUGAUUUGCCGGCAUCCUGCGAUUGGACCUCUGAGGGACCCAUCAGCGCUCAGACGGCAACAGGUAAUUAUACUGCUGAGACGAAAUUGCUGCAGAGACAGUAACUGCUUUGUGUUUACAACCAAUCCGUUCACCUGCGGCAACAACAACAGCAGUUAACAGGUUGCUAACAACACGCAGAGCUCAAGUCAGUUCAAUUUUCUCAGAUCUGUGGCAAUUAUGUAUGAAAUUUCACAUCGUCAUUGUCUAUAAAACAGUGCCACUCUGAGGAAUAAAGGUGAAUUGCAUUUAUUAAGUCAUCAGAUAUUUAAUUAUUGUUGCGCAGACAAAAAAAAAUAUAUAUACUUACACUAUUACAUAGGCCUCCCUCCGGUCGCUAGCAACCCUAUACACUACAAUAAAUAUAUAAUAAUAUUAUUUUACAAAAUAAUAAAAAAAUAAUAUAUAUAUAUAUAUAUAUAUAUUUAACAUUAAAUAUAUAUAUAUAUAUAUAUAUAUAUAUAUAUAUAUAUAUAUAUAUAUAUAUAUAUAUAUAUAUAUAUAUAUAUAUAUAUAUAUAUAUAUAUAUAUAUAUAUAUAU